rnacentral:rRNA from 1 species
AGAGUUUGAUCAUGGCUCAGAACGAACGCUGGCGGCGUGGAUAAGACAUGCAAGUCGAGCGCUCAUCCGUUUGCAGCAAUGUACACGGGUGGGAGCGGCGCAAGGGUGCGUAACGCGUGGGUAAUUUGCCGUGAAGUUGGGAAUAACUCCGAGAAAUCGGAGCUAAUGCCGAAUGUGGUUGCCUGGGGGCAUCUCCGGGUUACUAAAGUUGGGGACCGAAAGGCCUGACGCUUCACGAUAAGCCCGCGCCCUAUCAGCUAGUUGGUGAGGUAACGGCCCACCAAGGCUAAGACGGGUAGCUGGUCUGAGAGGACGACCAGCCACACUGGAACUGAGACACGGUCCAGACACCUACGGGUGGCAGCAGUCGAGAAUUUUUCACAAUGGGCGCAAGCCUGAUGGAGCGACGCCGCGUGGGGGAUGAAGGGCUUCGGCCCGUAAACCCCUGUCAUUUGCGAACAAUUCUUUUCCGAUAACACCGGAAAAGUUGAUGGUAGCGAAAGAGGAAGGGACGGCUAACUCUGUGCCAGCAGCCGCGGUAAUACAGAGGUCCCAAGCGUUGUUCGGAUUCACUGGGCGUAAAGGGUGCGUAGGUGGUGAGGUAAGUCGGAUGUGAAAUCUCUGAGCUCAACUCAGAAAUGGCAUUGGAAACUACCUUGCUAGAGGAUUGGAGGGGGGACUGGAAUUCUCGGUGUAGCAGUGAAAUGCGUAGAGAUCGAGAGGAACACCAGUGGCGAAGGCGAGUCCCUGGACAAUUCCUGACGCUGAGGCACGAAAGCUAGGGGAGCAAACAGGAUUAGAUACCCUGGUAGUCCUAGCCGUAAACGGUGUGCACUUGCUGUAGGCGGAAUCGACCCCGUCUGUGGCGAAGCAAACGCGUUAAGUGCACCGCCUGGGAAGUACGGUCGCAAGAUUAAAACUCAAAUGAAUUGACGG